rnacentral:rRNA from 1 species
GACGAACGCUGGCGGCGUGCUUAACACAUGCAAGUCGAACGGAAAGGCCCUGCUUUUGUGGGGUGCUCGAGUGGCGAACGGGUGAGUAACACGUGAGUAACCUGCCCUUGACUUUGGGAUAACUUCAGGAAACUGGGGCUAAUACCGGAUAGGAGCUCCUGCUGCAUGGUGGGGGUUGGAAAGUUUCGGCGGUUGGGGAUGGACUCGCGGCUUAUCAGCUUGUUGGUGGGGUAGUGGCUUACCAAGGCUUUGACGGGUAGCCGGCCUGAGAGGGUGACCGGCCACAUUGGGACUGAGAUACGGCCCAGACUCCUACGGGAGGCAGCAGUGGGGAAUAUUGCACAAUGGGCGGAAGCCUGAUGCAGCAACGCCGCGUGCGGGAUGACGGCCUUCGGGUUGUAAACCGCUUUCGCCUGUGACGAAGCGUGAGUGACGGUAAUGGGUAAAGAAGCACCGGCUAACUACGUGCCAGCAGCCGCGGUGAUACGUAGGGUGCGAGCGUUGUCCGGAUUUAUUGGGCGUAAAGGGCUCGUAGGUGGUUGAUCGCGUCGGAAGUGUAAUCUUGGGGCUUAACCCUGAGCGUGCUUUCGAUACGGGUUGACUUGAGGAAGGUAGGGGAGAAUGGAAUUCCUGGUGGAGCGGUGGAAUGCGCAGAUAUCAGGAGGAACACCAGUGGCGAAGGCGGUUCUCUGGGCCUUUCCUGACGCUGAGGAGCGAAAGCGUGGGGAGCGAACAGGCUUAGAUACCCUGGUAGUCCACGCUGUAAACGGUGGGUACUAGGUGUGGGGUCCAUUCCACGGGUUCCGUGCCGUAGCUAACGCUUUAAGUACCCCGCCUGGGGAGUACGGCCGCAAGGCUAAAACUCAAAGGAAUUGACGGGGCCCCGCACAAGCGGCGGAGCAUGCGGAUUAAUUCGAUGCAACGCGUAGAACCUUACCUGGGUUUGACAUGGAUCGGGAGUGCUCAGAGAUGGGUGUGCCUCUUUUGGGGUCGGUCCACAGGUGGUGCAUGGCUGUCGUCAGCUCGUGUCGUGAGAUGUUGGGUUAAGUCCCGCAACGAGCGCAACCCUUGUUCACUGUUGCCAGCACGUUAUGGUGGGGACUCAGUGGAGACCGCCGGGGUCAACUCGGAGGAAGGUGGGGAUGACGUCAAGUCAUCAUGCCCCUUAUGUCCAGGGCUUCACGCAUGCUACAAUGGCUGGUACAGAGAGUGGCGAGCCUGUGAGGGUGAGCGAAUCUCGGAAAGCCGGUCUCAGUUCGGAUUGGGGUCUGCAACUCGACCUCAUGAAGUCGGAGUCGCUAGUGAUCGCAGAUCAGCAACGCUGCGGUGAAUACGUUCCCGGG